rnacentral:tRNA from 12 species
AACUGAUGAAGUUGGAACAGGUAGCCAACACCUUUAUGGAGAUGCAGAUUACCACCUGCCAUCAGUU